rnacentral:rRNA from 1 species
CAGUCGAGCGAACUGAUUAGAAGCUUGCUUCUAUGACGUUAGCGGCGGACGGGUGAGUAACACGUGGGCAACCUGCCUGUAAGACUGGGAUAACUUCGGGAAACCGAAGCUAAUACCGGAUAGGAUCUUCUCCUUCAUGGGAGAUGAUUGAAAGAUGGUUUCGGCUAUCACUUACAGAUGGGCCCGCGGUGCAUUAGCUAGUUGGUGAGGUAACGGCUCACCAAGGCAACGAUGCAUAGCCGACCUGAGAGGGUGAUCGGCCACACUGGGACUGAGACACGGCCCAGACUCCUACGGGAGGCAGCAGUAGGGAAUCUUCCGCAAUGGACGAAAGUCUGACGGAGCAACGCCGCGUGAGUGAUGAAGGCUUUCGGGUCGUAAAACUCUGUUGUUAGGGAAGAACAAGUACGAGAGUAACUGCUCGUACCUUGACGGUACCUAACCAGAAAGCCACGGCUAACUACGUGCCAGCAGCCGCGGUAAUACGUAGGUGGCAAGCGUUAUCCGGAAUUAUUGGGCGUAAAGCGCGCGCAGGCGGUUUCUUAAGUCUGAUGUGAAAGCCCACGGCUCAACCGUGGAGGGUCAUUGGAAACUGGGGAACUUGAGUGCAGAAGAGAAAAGCGGAAUUCCACGUGUAGCGGUGAAAUGCGUAGAGAUGUGGAGGAACACCAGUGGCGAAAGCGGCUUUUUGGUCUGUAACUGACGCUGACGCGCGAAAGCGUGGGGAGCAAACACGAUUAGAUACCCUGG